rnacentral:rRNA from 1 species
UGGACAGACCUCUAGUGUGCCAGUUGUUCCGCCAGGAGCAUCGCUGGGUAGCCAUGUCUGGCAGAGAUAACCGCUGAAAGCAUCUAAGUGGGAAACUCGCCCUAAGAUUAGAUCCCUGUAAUCCAGUUAAUGGAGUAAGACCGCAGGUAGACUACCUGCUUAAUAGGCAGCAUGUGUAAGCGCAGUAAUGUGUUAAGCUAAGCUGUACUAAUGGUCGAGGGCUUCCUUCC